GGCUCAUUACGUGCACAUUUGGUCAGCUCCAAACCACCUAGUUUUGUUUUUUCAAGAAGAGAUAAGAACAAGGACUCAUGAUUUCGUGAGUCCUGAUCCUGUCUCUUGGUGUCAUCUGCACAUCUCUUUCAUCCUGCAUCGAAUUUGUGGACAUCUAGACAUCUUUAUUCAAUCCACGAGUGAACCAGUUCAGUGGAACAGAGCCUGGAGCAGACUCACAACAGGUACUGAUGGCUCCCUGGGGGCCUGGGCACUGUGUAGGAGUCCAUGCUGAUUCUGAAUUUACCUGCU
rnacentral:lncRNA from 1 species